GGUUAAUUAAAAAGAGUUUUGAAAACUUUUUUCGAUUUUAAUCGUUUAACCU
rnacentral:tRNA from 1 species